GUGGCUGGCGGCUGGGUGCCUUUUACUGGUGCUGUGCAGAGGCUUUCCCUAAGGCUGCUGUGAGCCUGUAGGGUUUCCCCCUAGGCUACUAAGCUGG
rnacentral:pre_miRNA from 1 species